rnacentral:tRNA from 1 species
ACUACAUUGGCAGACUAGUGCGGUUGAUUUAGAUUCGAAAUAUAGGGUUGUACUCUAUGUGGUA